GACGAACGCUGGCGGCGUGCUUAACACAUGCAAGUCGAACGCUGAAGCUCAGCUUGCUGGGUGGAUGAGUGGCGAACGGGUGAGUAACACGUGAGUAACCUGCCCUCUUCUUUGGGAUAACGCCCGGAAACGGGUGCUAAUACUGGAUAUUCACUGAUUCUCGCAUGGGGGUUGGUGGAAAGGUUUUUUCUGGUGGGGGAUGGGCUCGCGGCCUAUCAGCUUGUUGGUGGGGUGAUGGCCUACCAAGGCUUUGACGGGUAGCCGGCCUGAGAGGGUGACCGGUCACAUUGGGACUGAGAUACGGCCCAGACUCCUACGGGAGGCAGCAGUGGGGAAUAUUGCACAAUGGGCGAAAGCCUGAUGCAGCGACGCCGCGUGAGGGAUGGAGGCCUUCUGGUUGUAAACCUCUUUCGCUCAUGGUCAAGCCGCAGCUUUGGGUUGUGGUGAGGGUAGUGGGUAAAGAAGCGCCGGCUAACUACGUG
rnacentral:rRNA from 1 species